rnacentral:rRNA from 17 species
CGAAGCUGUGGAUUGUCCUUUGGACAAUGGUAGGAGAGCGUUCUAAGGGCGUCGAAGCAUGAUCGCAAGGACAUGUGGAGCGCUUAGAAGUGAGAAUGCCGGUGUGAGUAGCGAAAGACGGGUGAGAAUCCCGUCCACCGAUUGACUAAGGUUUCCAGAGGAAGGCUCGUCCGCUCUGGGUUAGUCGGGUCCUAAGCUGAGGCCGACAGGCGUAGGCGAUGGAUAACAGGUUGAUAUUCC